GAACGAUGGUCCCUACCCCAGGGCACGAUUUCGAAAAACAAAGACGCGUCACGAAUAAACGCCUUGACGCGGGCAGCAGUCUGCUUCGCAUCAAGCUUGGCAUCUAGCUGCAAAACAGGAGUCGGUAAACUAACCCGAGGAAGGUCGGCAGAAGAAAUCGGCCGAACCGAAGGCAAAGGCUCUGGCUCGGCUGCGGCUGCCGCCGCAACCGCAGCCCCAGCAGCAGCAGCCGCUUCCACCGCUAACGCACGCGCAGCCGCAGCACGGUGGUCCGCAUCUGUCGUCGGGGUUUCUGGUAUCACCGUUGGAACAUCCGGACGAUUCAUGUGAGUAUUAGGC
rnacentral:lncRNA from 1 species